rnacentral:rRNA from 1 species
GAUGAACGCUGGCGGCGUGCCUAACACAUGCAAGUCGAGCGAUUCUCUUCGGAGAAGAGCGGCGGACGGGUGAGUAACGCGUGGGUAACCUGCCCUGUACACACGAAUAACAUACCGAAAGGUAUGCUAAUACGAGAUAAUAUACUUUUAUCGCAUGGUAGAAGUAUCAAAGCUCCGGCGGUACAGGAUGGACCCGCGUCUGAUUAGCUAGUUGGUAAGGUAGCGGCUUACCAAGGCGACGAUGAGUAGCCAAACUGAGAGGGUGAUCGGCCACAGUGGAACUGAGACACGGUCCAAACUCCUACGGGAGGCAGCAGUGGGGAAUAUUGCACAAUGGGCGAAAGCCUGAUGCAGCAACGCCGCGUGAGCGAUGAAGGACUUCGGGUCGUAAAGCUCUGUACUCAAGGAAGAUAAUGACGGUACUUGAGGAGGAAGCCCCGGCUAACUACGUGCCAGCCGCCGCGGUAACAC